rnacentral:rRNA from 1 species
UCGCAGGCUGCAACCCGCCUGCGUGAAGUUGGAAUCGCUAGUAAUCGCGGAUCAGCAUGCCGCGGUGAAUACGUUCCCGGGCCUUGUACACACCGCCCGUCACACCAUGAGAGUCGGGAACACCCGAAGUCCGUAGCCUAACAGCAAUGGGGGCGCGGCCGAAGGUGGGUUCGAUAAUUGGGGUGAAGUCGUAACAAGGUACC